rnacentral:lncRNA from 1 species
AAUAGACCUUGCGCAUGUGUGAGCUCUGCUUCAGGCUCUGAUUUCUAAGGAACCCAGGGUCCUUCUGGUUCUUCUAUGUGGGAUGCCACCACAGCAUGGCUUGAUGAGCAGUGAGUAGGUCCAUGCCCAGGAUCCAAAUUGGCAAACCCCAGGCCGCUGAAGUGGAGUGCACAACUUAACCACUUGGCCACAGGGCUGGCCCCUGACUUCAGGUUUUAAAGAAUCACCCCACAAACAAGCAAACCAAACAAACAAUAGAAGGAAUACUCUGACAGGCGUGUGGAGAACAGACUGUGGUGAGCAAGGCUGGAAGCCGGGAGAGGGAGCAGGCAUCUGUUGCAAGAAUGCAGGCUUUGCAGGCCAUACGAUUUCUGUCACAACGACUCAACUCUGCCAUGACAGCGUGAAGGCGGCCAUGGACCACAUGUCAACUGACGAGCAUUCUAGGAGCAAUUAUUGUUCUUCUGAUGGAAGAAACCAGCAAUGUUGCAAGAAAGAGGUAGUUAUGAUAACAUUUUAUUUGUAAAAACACUUGACGGGCUAGAAUUGGCUGGUGGGCCACAGUCUGCCAACUCAUGGUCUGUGGGAAUAUGUAGUGACUUUGCCCAAGAAAUGGUACGACCACGCCUGCCGGGCCUCCAGAUCUCCGUUUGUUCCUGCUGAUUUUCCGAGCUAGCCCCACACCUUCCUCUGGAUUCUGUGAACCCCCAUAUCCUUUGUCUUAGCUUGUGCUGCCAUAACAAAAGAUCAUAG